rnacentral:rRNA from 1 species
AACAGGAUUAGAUACCCUGGUAGUCCACGCCGUAAACGAUGUCGACUUGGAGGUUGUGCCCUUGAGGCGUGGCUUCCGGAGCUAACGCGUUAAGUCGACCGCCUGGGGAGUACGGCCGCAAGGUUAAAACUCAAAUGAAUUGACGGGGGCCCGCACAAGCGGUGGAGCAUGUGGUUUAAUUCGAUGCAACGCGAAGAACCUUACCUGGUCUUGACAUCCACGGAAGUUUUCAGAGAUGAGAAUGUGCCUUCGGGAACCGUGAGACAGGUGCUGCAUGGCUGUCGUCAGCUCGUGUUGUGAAAUGUUGGGUUAAGUCCCGCAACGAGCGCAACCCUUAUCCUUUGUUGCCAGCGGUCCGGCCGGGAACUCAAAGGAGACUGCCAGUGAUAAACUGGAGGAAGGUGGGGAUGACGUCAAGUCAUCAUGGCCCUUACGACCAGGGCUACACACGUGCUACAAUGGCGCAUACAAAGAGGAGCGACCUCGCGAGAGCAAGCGACCUCAUAAAGUGCGUCGUAGUCCGGAUUGGAGUCUGCAACUCGACUCCAUGAAGUCGGAAUCGCUAGUAAUCGUGGAUCAGAAUGCCACGGUGAAUACGUUCCCGGGCCUUGUACACACCGCCCGUCACACCAUGGGAGUGGGUUGCAAAAGAAGUAGGUAGCUUAACCUUCGGGAGGGCGCUUACCACUUUGUGAUUCAUGACUGGGGUGAAGUCGUAACAAGGUAACC